CUUCAGUUUAUGUUUCAGAGUUAUAUUUCAGAGUGGUUUCCCUGUUUCUUGCCUCUUUCGUGUUUUGAUCUUGGACACUUUCAUGCUUUUGAUUGUUUGCUGCCUCCUCUGACCUAUUGCAUGCAUUUUGGAUUACCCGCUUGCAAUGUUGUUUGCACCUGUUUGACUCUUGACUGUUCGACCAUUCUCAACAAAGCUGCAUUUGGAUCCUCUACUCCAUGUGUAGGCUCUUCAAAAUGGAAACCACCAAAGUUAAACCGAACAGGACUGCUUGACUCCAACAGAAUGAUAAAUAAAGUCAAACUGGUUAGUAGUAUGUGAAGCUGAUGGUGCUGU
rnacentral:lncRNA from 1 species